rnacentral:rRNA from 1 species
UACGGCGGCCAUAGCGACAGGGAAACACCCGGUCCCAUACCGAACCCGGAAGUUAAGCCUGCCAGCGCCGAUGGUACUGCAACCGAGAGGUCGUGGGAGAGUAGGACGCCGCCGGAC